GCGGAUGUAGCUCAGCUGGCUAGAGCACCACCUUGCCAAGGUGGGGGUCGCGAGUUCGAAUCUCGUCAUCCGCUCCA
rnacentral:tRNA from 5 species